rnacentral:rRNA from 1 species
AGAGUUUGAUCCUGGCUCAGAAUCAACGCUGGCGGCGUGCCUCAGACAUGCAAGUCGAACGAUUAAAGCUCUCUUCGGAGAGUGCAUAGAGUGGCGCACGGGUGAGUAACACGUAAGUAAUCUACCUUCGAGUGGGGAAUAACAGUCGGAAACGACUGCUAAUACCGCAUAAUGCAGCGGCMUCSCAAGAUGACAGUUGUUAAAGAUUUAUCGCUUGAAGAGGAGCUUGCGGCAGAUUAGCUAGUUGGUAAGGUAAUGGCUUACCAAGGCUACGAUCUGUAACCGGUCUAAGAGGACGGUCGGUCACACUGACACUGAAUAACGGGUCAGACUCCUACGGGAGGCAGCAGUCGGGAAUUUUGGGCAAUGGGCGAAAGCCUGACCCAGCAACGCCGCGUGAAGGAUGAAGUAUUUCGGUAUGUAAACUUCGAAAGAAUAGGAAGAAUAAAUGACGGUACUAUUUAUAAGGUCCGGCUAACUACGUGCCAGCCGCCGCGGUAAUUCA